rnacentral:lncRNA from 1 species
CAAUUUGGGUCUCUUCUCUUCUGACGUAAUGCGUUUCCUGCUUUCGCACUGCAGUGUGCAGUUCACUGGCUGGAAAGCCUGAAGAGCAAUGGACUGAACGCCAAGAUAAUUACUGCCACUAUCUUGCGAUUUAUUUUCCACGAAUACACUUGAACUGAUUUCAAAGCCCUGGCUUUGUUUUAAGCCAAACGAUUGUGGAAGCUGCAGCCUUUCCUCUCCCUCUCCAGAAACCGAGCUGGGAAGUGGGUAAAAACCACCAUGGAACGUGCGCGGACACUCUCCCACGCCCCGCACGCCCACAGGGACGGGAGCAGCAGCGGCCACCCCGCGCGCGCCCGGGUAACUACAGCCCCGCGGCCACCGCCGCCACCGCCCAGCCGGGCCGGGGAGACUCCCAAGGGCUCUUUAAAUACGAUCUAUAAAUACUACGGGCUCUGGGCGCGCGCGUCACCGCAGAGCCGGCCUCCCAUUGGCCGCCGUCCCCUCGCUUAUUUGCAUAGCCGGAUUGCUCAACCGGGCGGCGACCUCGGCCGGGCGCGCCCCUCCCCCC